CCUACGGGAGGCAGCAGUGGGGAAUAUUGGGCAAUGGAGGAAACUCUGACCCAGCAACGCCGCGUGAAUGAUGAAGGUCUUCGGAUUGUAAAGUUCUUUUCUAAGGGAAGAAGAAAGUGACGGUACCUUAGUAAUAAGCCUCGGCUAACUACGUGCCAGCAGCCGCGGUAAUACGUAGGAGGCAAGCGUUAUCCGGAAUGACUGGGCGUAAAGGGUGCGUAGGUGGUUUGACAAGUUGGUAGCGUAAUUCCGGGGCUCAACCGCGGAACUAUUACCAAAACUGUCGGACUUGAGUACAGGAGAGGUAAAUGGAAUUCCUGGUGUAGCGGUGGAAUGCGUAGAUAUUAGGAGGAACACCAGUGGCGAAGGCGAUUUGCUAGACUGUAACUGACACUGAGGCGCGAAAGCGUGGGGAGCAAACAGGAUUAGAUACCCGUGUAGUC
rnacentral:rRNA from 1 species